AUGACUGACCUGUGCGAUAUGCUGAAGGGGGCAAAUUUAGGUAUUAACAUCGCUUCUGAAUUAAUAAACUGCCUUCUUUUCGCUGAUGACAUUGUUCUAUUAGGAAACACUGAAGAAGAGCUACAAAUUCUCUUAAACAUAGCGCAUAAAUUUGUCUCAAAAUGGAGCUUAAAGUUUAAUUCAUCCAAGUCGAAGGUUCUGGUUACAGGUAAAAAGAAAGACUCAGAUAAAAAAUGGUAUCUGGGAAACAAUCUCAUUGAAGAAGUAAAUGAAUACAAAUAUUUAGGCGUAUAUUUCUCAAGAUCCCUUAAAUCUGCAUACCAUAUAGAACAGUACCUGAAAGAAAAUUUUCAACGGAAAAUAAAUCAUGCGAUUCGUAUUUUAGGUGAACAUGGGGAUUUUAACCGUAUAAAUUUUGGACAUUCUCUGUGGAUGUCGGCUAUUCGACCAUCACUGACGUAUGGAUGUUCAGUAUGGUUCCCGUCAUCCCAGAAAUGUAAAGAAUUACUAGAAAGUUUUCAAUAUAAAGUGGGGAAAAUAAUCUUAAACACUAAAAUGAAUAUUCCUAAAUGUGCGCUCCUAGCUGAAUUUGGGUGGGAGUCAAUAAACAGAUUUAUGGAUAGACAAAGAAUUGCAUACUACGCUAGAUUAAAAAAUCUGCCCAAUAAUCGGCUAAAUUCUAGAUAA
rnacentral:sRNA from 1 species